GUGUUGUACACAGAAUCGGAAUUGCCUCUUGAAGAAAUUGCCUUGUAAGGGAGAAGAAAGUGGGGUCAGAAAUAGGAGACGGGGACAGCAUGCGCAUGGGGACCCAAUCCAUUGCUUUUUGACGUCAAUAGCACUGUGGCUUUUUUCAAGGGCAUGCAUAUAUCUUGUCAAUGUGGCUUAACAAGCCUGCAUCACUUCUCUGCUGUGGUCUUGCACAGUGUAGCAGGCUUCAGGAAGCACUGUACUUUGUGGCCAAGCAGACUUAGCAUAAAGGAAGGAAGGUGGAUAAAAUAUGUGAAUUUCAAGAGAAAAGACUUCAGAGACUCAUGUCAAAAAUGGUAAUGCUAUAGGAUACAGUGAGAAAUUAGAAAGUCAUAGAAGCCCCCAGUUCAGUAUGAGAAGGAUCUUACUGUCCGUUCCCUUCCUGUCAUAGGUGCAUUAUUUGAUAAGUAAUGUUGAAAAGUAAGGAGAGACUCUGUCUCAGGACCUUGGCUUUUUGUAUAAGUGGAACCAGAAAUAAAUAUGGGGAAAAGUGGAAGAGUGAUGUAUUC
rnacentral:lncRNA from 1 species